UACAGAGGUCUCAAGCGUUGUUCGGAUUCAUUGGGCGUAAAGGGUGUGUAGGCGGCGCUGUAAGUCGGGGGUGAAAUUUCGGAGCUUAACUCCGAAACUGCAUUCGAUACUGCGGUGCUUGAGUACUGGAGAGGAGACUGGAAUUCAUGGUGUAGCAGUGAAAUGCGUAGAGAUCAGGAGGAAGACCAGUGGCGAAGGCGGGUCUCUGGACAGUUCCUGACACUGAGACGCGAAGGCCAGGGGAGCAAACGGG
rnacentral:rRNA from 1 species